rnacentral:rRNA from 1 species
CCUACGGGAGGCAGCAGUGGGGAAUAUUGGACAAUGGGCGCAAGCCUGAUCCAGCAAUACCGCGUGGGUGAUGAAGGUCUUCGGAUUGUAAAGCCCUUUUAGUAGAGAAGAUAAUGACGGUAUCUACAGAAAAAGCACCGGCAAACUUCGUGCCAGCAGCCGCGGUAAUACGAAGGGUGCUAGCGUUGUUCGGAAUCACUGGGCGUAAAGGGUACGUAGGCGGUUUGGUAAGUCGAUUGUGAAAGCCCCAGGCUCAACCUGGGAACUGCAAUCGAAACUACUUUACUUGAGUUUGGUAGGGGAUGGUGGAAUUCCUAGUGUAGGGGUGAAAUCCGUAGAGAUUAGGAAGAACACCAGUGGCGAAGGCGACCAUCUAUGCCAAUACUGACGCUGAGGUACGAAAGCGUGGGGAGCAAACAGGAUUAGAUACCCUGGUAGUCCACGCCCUAAACGAUGAAUGCUAGUUGUCGGGGCCUUAGGCUUCGGCGGCGAAGUUAACACGAUAAGCAUUCCGCCUGGGGGAGGUACGGUCGCGAGACAAACUACAAGAAGUAGACGACGNGAGAGNGCGAACGGACGACACGAGGGAGUUAGG